UAGUGCAUGAUCAUUGCGGCCCAGCAAGUUGCAAGUGGCAAGUGGCAAGUGCCCUGUUAAGACAGGGGCGGAUUAUAGGAGACAAGCCUGGUUAGCGUGACAAAAGUUGUUGCUCGAAUGCCUACCCCUUGGCAGCCACUCCCUCUGUUUGCCGCCCCCUCCCCCAAUCGGCGACGCCCCUGGACCAGACAAUAUGAAGCCAUCCGUCGAGGAGGAAGGAGGAAGAGGAGACUCUGGAAGAACGACGUCUGCAGGCGAACUCCGCAAGCGUAAAAAUAUGAAAAGUGCCGCAAGUGCAACAAGUGCAAGUGCAGGCGAACUGGACUCAGACACACUCAAUUCAUAAUUAAUCAGGCUCUACUUGCCACUCUCUGUGGCGUCUGUGGCAAGCUUAACACUUCCCUGCCAUGCACUGUUAAUAAAAAAUGUGAGCCCACAACCUUCAACCCUCUUCCAACUGCCUGACUCGGUGCUAAGGUUGAGCGAGCAUUCGUGAUCUUAACCCGACGGGGAAUAACAUCAGGAAGACCCGGAACUCGACGACUCCAAGACCUCUUCAAACAGAAACAGACGG
rnacentral:sRNA from 1 species